rnacentral:rRNA from 1 species
CAGAGGUGGCAAGCGUUGUUCGGAAUUACUGGGCGUAAAGGGCGCGUAGGCGGUCUUGUAAGUCCUGUGUGAAAUCCCCCGGCUCAACUGGGGAACUGCACAGGAGACUGCUUGACUUGAGUUCGGGAGAGGGAAGCGGAAUUCCGGGUGUAGCGGUGAAAUGCGUAGAUAUCCGGAGGAACACCGGUGGCGAAGGCGGCUUCCUGGACCGACACUGACGCUGAGGCGCGAAAGCUAGGGGAGCAAACGGGAUUAGAUACCCCGGUAGUCCUAGCUGUAAACGAUGAGCGCUGGGUGUAGGGGGUAUUGACCCCCCCUGUGCCGAAGCUAACGCAUUAAGCGCUCCGCCUGGGGAGUACGGUCGCAAGGCUG